ensembl:lncRNA
CUUUGGUGUAAUUUCGGGAGGGCCGGAAACGGCGGAAGGAUCCGGAGCGCCCUGGAGGCCCCAAUGAGAAAGGCCGGUUUUCCUCCUGGGCGCAAUGACGUCAUGGGUUAACCUGCAUUUGGGGCGGGUCCUUAAGGAAUUGUUAACAUUCGGAGCUGUGGCUGUCACCUCCAAGGAGACCCCGGUGCCCUUCUCAGCAGGAUCUGUGCAGGGAUGUGUUGCAGGACAAUCAGAGGAACCUGGCCUGCCUUGGUAAGCACAGAUUUUCCUUGUCUCCCAAUCUGUCAAGGGCUUUGCUUUCUUUCUUGGUAUGAAUUAUGGGCUUUCCUGAGUGUUUUUAUCUCUUGUUUUGCCUAACAGUUUUGAAUCUUUAUGGACUUGUUGUGAGGGAAAAGACCUUUGUUUUGUACCUCUCUAAAGUGAUGCUCCUGAGGUUGUGCCUUAUUCACUUUCUGUUCCCUCAGAGAUAAUAUUUAAUUAUUUUUAUAUUAUUGUAUUAUAGUAUGAUGUAAUAAUAUAAUGAUUAUUAAAAAUAGUAAUCUAACCCUAAUAUAGUUUUCUGAAGACAUGAAAAGUUUCUAACCUGUUAUCAGGAUGUGUGUCAAAUGAUUUAAUUUUUUUACCUGACUGCAACUCCAGUCUGUGACCCACUUCUCCCUAGUUCCAAAGACUACGAAGAGAGCAUCUUAUGGUUAUACCCUUUAGGACUUCCUUGUUCACUUUUCCCAAGAGAGAGAAGGAACAUAGUAGAUGGUUUAAUAAACGUUUAUUGCAUUAUAUUAAAUCUGAGAUGGUUCCCUGAACUUACUUUUUUUCUAUUUCCAACAAACAGGACUUGUAAUUUCCAAACCAGAUAUGAUAUACCAUUAGGAACAAGGUAUAAAACUUGGGAUGCCAAAGGGAGAUGUCUGACGAAGCACCUGUCCAUGUUGGGACAGUAGGUCUGAAAUCAAAAGACAAUCCCAAAGCUGGACAUUUCUUUGGAGGGAAUUAAGGCCCAGGUCUUAUAAGGGAUGGUAACUUUGGACCCGUGAAGUUGAGUCAAAUCCUGGGUUAGGGCACCCAACUAGUAAGGAAAAUAAUAAAUGAAUGUAAUGAAUGUGGCAAGACUUUCAGCCAGGAGACUUAACUUACUCAGUACAGGAAAAUCCAUAUGGGAGAGAAACUUCAUGAAUGAUUAGACUGUGGGAAGGCCUUUGCGGAAGGAAGACCUCAUUUUGAUAUCAGAUGAUCCAUACUUGGGAAAUAUACUAAGAAUGAAUGACUAUGGGAAGAUUUUUCUGCCCUUUGCACAGCUCUGAAUUUACAUUGAAGAAUUGUUUUGGAGGAAAAUCUUAUUAGUGUAAAGGUUUGUAAGGCCUUUGCCUGAUCAAAAACAUAAAAUCAAAAGAUUCAUACUGGAGACAAACCUUCUAAGUGCAGUGGAGUGUUAGAGCUUUCCUUCACAAGAGGGGCCUCCUUGAUAUUAGAAUAUUCUCACUAGAGAUAAACCUUGGCAAGGUGUUUUGCCAUAGUACAGUUCUGAUCAGGCAUCAAUCUGGAGAGAAGCUUUAUGAAUGUAAGCAAUGUGGGAAGUUCUUUUGCUUGGAAAAAGUAGGAUAUGAAGUAUACCCUAAAGUUCUCACAGUGCAAAAACUGUCCUUAAAGAACAGAAGAAGCCUAAACCCUUUUAAAUGACUUUCAGGGAAAUUGAUAGGAGAUAUCCAAUGGAUGGGUCCAAUGUUAGGGAUUGACUACCUAUCAGUUACAACCAUUAUGUGACAUUUUAACUGGAAACAGUGCUUUAAACUCACCACGCCAGCUUGCAAAAGAAGCUCAAGAGAUUUUGAGAGAGGUUGAAGGGUGUGGUUGAAAGUCACACAAAUAUCCUUAGAAAUAUAGUUUUUUUUUUACACACAAAGAGGCACCCACAGCAUUCCUUCAUCAAGCAGACAGUGUGAUCGAGUGGGUGAGCCUCCCAACACAACCAGAACAAACUUACUUUUUUGCCAAUUCUUGGUGUCUAGAAUUUUGUUAAAAGGCCAUUAAGGA